GAGCGGAAACGCCGGAGUGCUUGCACUCCGGGCGUCGAGCGGCGGACGGGUGAGUAACGCGUGGGAAUUUACCCUUUGGCGGGGGGUAGCCCGGGGAAACUCGGAUUAAUACCGCAUAAGCCCUUUUGGGGAAAGACGGCCUCUGAUGCAAGCUGUCGCCGAAGGAUGAGCCCGCGUCAGAUUAGCUAGUUGGUGGGGUAAAGGCCUACCAAGGCCGCGAUCUGUAGCUGGUCUGAGAGGAUGAUCAGCCACAUCGGGACUGAGACACGGCCCGAACUCCUACGGGAGGCAGCAGUGGGGAAUCUUGGACAAUGGGCGCAAGCCUGAUCCAGCCAUGCCGCGUGUGUGAAGAAGGCCUUCGGGUUGUAAAGCACUUUCAGCGAGGAAGAAAAGGCAGGUGUUAAUACCACCCUGUUUUGACGGUACUCGCAGAAGAAGCACCGGCUAAUUCCGUGCCAGCAGCCGCGGUAAUACGAAAGGUGCAAGCGUUAAUCGGAAUUACUGGGCGUAAAGGGCGCGUAAGCGGCGCGUUCAGUCGGCUGUGAAAGCCCCGGGCUCAACCCGGGAAUUGCAUCCGAUACUGGCGUGCUAGAGUGCAGUAGAGGGAGGUAGAAUUCCAGGUGUAGCGGUGAAAUGCGUAGAGAUCUGGAGGAAUACCAGUGGCGAAGGCGGCCUCCUGGACUGACACUGA
rnacentral:rRNA from 1 species